UGGGGAAUAUUGCACAAUGGGGGAAACCCUGAUGCAGCGACGCCGCGUGAAGGAAGAAGGUUUUCGGAUCGUAAACUUCUAUCAGCAGGGAAGAAAAUGACGGUACCUGACUAAGAAGCCCCGGCUAACUACGUGCCAGCAGCCGCGGUAAUACGUAGGGGGCAAGCGUUAUCCGGAAUCACUGGGUGUAAAGGGUGCGUAGGCGGUAAGGUAAGUCAGAUGUGAAAACCCGGGGCUCAACUUCGGGAUUGCAUUUGAAACUACUUAACUAGAGUGCAGGAGAGGAAAGUGGAAUUCCUAGUGUAGCGGUGAAAUGCGUAGAUAUUAGGAGGAACACCAGUGGCGAAGGCGGCUUUCUGGACUGUAACUGACGCUGAGGCACGAAAGCGUGGGGAGCGAACAGGAUUAGAUACCCCCGUAGUCC
rnacentral:rRNA from 1 species